GAAAGGGCGGGGCUUGUCCGUCAUGAACGGAGCGAGCGAGGGCGAUGUCGGCGGCUACAAACGGCGCUGCCGGGCCCUGAAACGGCGCCUGAAGCUGCUGCUCUACGAGCAGGAAUGUUUCCAGGAGGAGCUGAGGAGGGCCCAGCGCAAACUGCUGAAAGUCUCACGGGAUAAAAGUUUCCUCCUGGACCGGCUCCUCCAGUACGAAAACGUCGACGAUGAUUCCUCAGACUCAGAGGCGACGGCGUCGUCCGACAACAGCGACGGGGACGGCGCCAAGGGGGCGGAGCCAACGCCCGCCAAGAGGCGCCGCUCGCCCUCCCCUCCCCCCUCGACCUUCGGCCCCUCCCCCUACAUGAUGGCGUCGCCGCCCUACAGCCCCUUCCCGGCGCAGUUCCCGCCCCUCCCCCCGCAGGGCGGGGCCAGGCCACGCCCCUCCCCCGCCCGGCGCAGCAAAGGGACCCGGAAAGGGCAGGCUCCCCCUGCCCCUCCCCCUCUCCCCUUUGGCACGGGCGGGGCAGGGGCGGGGCUGUCCGGGGGGCGUGGCCCCGGCUCGCCCCUCCCGCCGCCGGCGCUGGCCCCGCCCCCGGCCCCGCCCCCCGUUCCGGCCACGCUCCCGCGGCGGCUCCUGAGCGACCCCGGGGAGGGGGAGGGGGAGGGCAGCGAUGACCCCUUGGACGGGGACGAUGAGCUGGUCAUCGACCUCCCUGAGUGACCAAUGAGUGACCACUGAGUGACCACUGACCCCUCUGAGUGACCAUCGACCUCCCUGAGUGACCAUCGACCUCCCUGAGCUGGUCAUCGACCUGCCCGAGUGACCAGUGAGUGACCACUGAGUGACCACUGACCAUGGAGUGACC